rnacentral:rRNA from 1 species
UACAGAGGUCUCAAGCGUUGUUCGGAUUCAUUGGGCGUAAAGGGUGCGUAGGUGGUGAUGCAAGUCUGGUGUGAAAUCUCGGAGCUCAACUCCGAAAUUGCACCGGAUACUGCGUGACUCGAGGACUGUAGAGGAGAUCGGAAUUCACGGUGUAGCAGUGAAAUGCGUAGAUAUCGUGAGGAAGACCAGUUGCGAAGGCGGAUCUCUGGGCAGUUCCUGACACUGAGGCACGAAGGCCAGGGGAGCAAGCGGG